CAUGAGCGUGAAAGAGGUUCAAGAAUCCGUUUUCUUUUUCUAAGGGCUAAAAUCACUUAUUUUUUUUUUGCUUUUUGACCCCAUAUUGUAGGGUGGAUCUCGAAAGAGAGGAAAGAUCUCCCUCCAAGCCGUACAUACGACUUUCAUCGAAUACGGCUUUCCACAGAAUUCUAUAGGGAUCUAUGA
rnacentral:rRNA from 1 species